UUUACUGGGCAACCGCUGGCAGCCUGUGAGCUGCUAGAGGAAAGUCGGGACUGGCCUUGUCUACCACUCUGUAGGCAAGAAAGUUGGUGCACAGCGCAAGCUGUGGCAGGGUGACCUGACGGCGGCGAACCUAUCCCUCGGGGAUAGCAGUAGCUAUAAAAGCUCCACAGAGACGAGCCGUUGUGGCAACACGACGGGUGAAACGAGGAAAGCCCCACCAGCCAGCAACGCAAAUUAUGGUAGCGGCACCCCUUACAGGGGCAGAGGCAAUUUGUCUCUGAGAUAGAUGGUUGCCUUAAAUGACAGAAUCCCGCUUAUAGGU
rnacentral:RNase_P_RNA from 1 species